CUCCGCGUCGGCCGGUCGGUUUGGUCGGUUGUAGUGGCCUCGCCGCCCGGUCCGCUGUCGCAGCGCUCAUCCGCGCCGGGAGCCCUUGGCUGCGUCGCCCGGCAGCCGCGCCUCGCGAGACCGCUGUCUACGGCGCUGACGCCGCCUCUGCCUCUUGACCCCUUGGCCCCGCUGUCCUGAUCCCUGAGGUCGGGGCCUGGUCUGCACUCCAGGAAAGACGAGUGCGCUUAGUGUGCGCUGCACGUGAGCAGUGAAGUUGAUUCCACGCGCUGCGCUGCUCGGCAGCUGUCCCAGAACUGACCACGGACCCCUCCGCGGGUCCUGCUCCUGACAAGGGCCUUCCGGCACUGGGAGUUUUGUGUUAGUGGAAAGGAAGAAUCUAAUAAUACCACCACCUUUACAGUAAAGACGCUGCGAAUUGACGCCUUUUAUAAUAAAGACACUUAUCUUGCCCAAGAGCUGGGCUGAUUGGCGCUGGUUUCCAUCUGUCAGAUUGGACAGCAGUACCACUGGCUGUUGGGGGCUCACGACCAGAUAGAGUCUUGUCUGGGAACCACAAGUGAG
rnacentral:lncRNA from 1 species